rnacentral:lncRNA from 1 species
GGGCAUUUAGGUAUCCGUUAAAGAUUUAAGCCAUAUUCAGGUGUUUAUAAAAACAAAUUGGGUUUGGUUCAAAUAUUUACGGGUUUGGUUUGGAUUCAGAUAUCCAUUUAAAUUAUGUUAAAAAUAAAAAAAAAAUCCUAAUAAAGCUUAAAAAAUAAAAUAAAACGCAACAUAUAAUUUUGAAUAUUGUAUGCAAAAUAUAUAUAAUUAACAUGGAAAUUAUUUUGGUUUUGAUGUUUGGAUGGAGAACCAGUAUGUAUUAGGGAAUUUCUAGUGUUUUGAGUAGGCAUGGGCGUUUGGGGUCCCAAUUGGGUUUCAGUUUAGUCCAAUCGGGUUUCGGUUUUUUGGGCUUAUCAAAAUCAGCCCCAUUCAGGUUAUAUGAAAAUUUGGUUCGGGAUCGGUUCGGAUUCGGAUCGGGUUUAGUAAAUCUUCAAAGAACCGGUACAACCCGAUGUGAAAUGAUCUGAACAGAUACAAAACCAUAAGACAGUGUGGUACAAAC